GAGACUGAGACCCAGAGAGGUGACAGGAGCUAUUCAAUGAGUUAGCUUCUGAGCCUGGAUAAGAGGCCAGGGGUUCCAUUCCCUCCUUGGUGGUCUUUUUAUUUCAUCUUCUCCAGGCUAGAUGUUAACCCUCAGCACACACGAGUUCUAUGAAUGUUCAGGCAAAUAAAGACAGAAAUAAAGGAAGAUAGACUGAACAAAGCAGAAAGAAUGACUCGGUUUGCUUACGCCUGAGCCUACAGCAAUACACCAGAGUAAAAGGCCUGCUUCCUCACUCCUGGACCAGCCAUCACACAUGUGCACUGCCCCGAUGCUCCUCUCCCAGGUGACAUUAUCAGUUUCAGGUGUUCCAUAAAGCAAUUCGGUGAGUCCAUAUAUUACUCAGUGCUCAUCAAGUGCCUGGCAUAGAGCAGCUAUUUAAGAAAUAUUUACUGAACUGACAGAGGGCUGAAGGAGUGCCCCUUUACCUUCGUCGGUCCUGAGGAGGGCUUUUUCAGAAGACUUGCCUCGUCCAGGCACUUCAUUCUCACUAAGUCUUCAAGAAUGACUGGUAUGGUUUUUACUGUGGUCAUAUUGAAGGAAAUGAAAGAAAGAAAGGAGUAUUAAAAAGAG